rnacentral:rRNA from 1 species
UACGGAGGGGGCUAGCGUUGUUCGGAUUUACUGGGCGUAAAGCGCACGUAGGCGGAUCGAUCAGUCAGGGGUGAAAUCCCAGGGCUCAACCCUGGAACUGCCUUUGAUACUGUCGAUCUGGAGUAUGGAAGAGGUGAGUGGAAUUCCGAGUGUAGAGGUGAAAUUCGUAGAUAUUCGGAGGAACACCAGUGGCGAAGGCGGCUCACUGGUCCAUUACUGACGCUGAGGUGCGAAAGCGUGGGGAGCAAACAGG